rnacentral:misc_RNA from 1 species
AAGGGUGUUUAGCACUUGGAUCCAAUAUCUAAAUCAAAUGGCAUUGUUAAUUAGGUGCCAAUAUAUAUCAUUUAGGGAAUUUUAUUUAUUCCUCUUUUUAAAGUUGGUCUCUUUUCAAUGUUUUGGAUUUAAUUUGGUCAAAAAAUAAUUUUGAAAGCUGUUAAUUGAGGAUGGAGUGCUUUUUCCCCUCCCUGUUUAGAAGAACCAUUUUUUGUUGAGUGGGGUAAUUUAUUAACAAUGAGAGACAUCAGACAUGUGUCUCCCUCCCUCUCUAGAGUGUCAUACCUUGCAUUGAAUAUAAAGAAGUUAGCAUCAGAACCAAGAAUAUAGGUAGUCUUUGUAUUACAUGAUAAAAUUACAAAAGUAACAAAACAUUCGUCAUUUCCGUGAUUUCUUCAUUCUUUUGGCGGGAGUAGAAGAAGAUGGAGAUUGAAAAAAUGGGGUAGCUUGAGAGAGAGCCUGCAUUUGGUAUACCAGCUCUGUGGUUAGCAUUACCCCAAUGCAAAUAAGUUUUUUGCAUUUCUGCUGAUGAGGAUUUUCCUCUUUUGCUUUCAGCUAAAGCCUU